rnacentral:tRNA from 1 species
GCGGGCGUAGCUCAGCUGGUUAGAGCACUGGAUUGUGGUUCCAGGGGUCGAGGGUUCAAGUCCCUUCGUUCGCCC